GAUGUGGUGGCGCAGUUGGCUAGCGCAUAGGUCUCAUAGUCAGUUAUGCUGAGGUCGAGAGUUCAAACCUCUCCCACCCCA
rnacentral:tRNA from 1 species